ACACGGGAAAACUCACCCGGCCCGGACACCGUAAGGAUUGACAGAUUGAGAGCUCUUUCUUGAUUCGGUGGGUGGUGGUGCAUGGCCGUCUUUAGUUGGUGGAGCGAUUUGUCUGGUUAAUUCCGAUAACGAACGAGACUCUAGCCUGCUAAAUAGUUCGUUCAUAUCUGUUGUGAACGUUAACUUCUUAGAGGGACAAGUGGCGUUUAGCCACGCGAGAUUGAGCAAUAACAGGUCUGUGAUGCCCUUAGAUGUUCGGGGCCGCACGCGCGCUACACUGAAGGAAUCAACGUGUGUCGCUCCUGACCCGAGAGGGUCGGGCAACCAGUUGAACCUCCUUCGUGCUAGGGAUUGGGGCUUGUAAUUCUUCCCCAUGAACGAGGAAUUCCCAGUAAGCGCGAGUCUAG
rnacentral:rRNA from 1 species